UACGGGGGGGGCAAGCGUUGUUCGGAAUUACUGGGCGUAAAGGGCUCGUAGGCGGCCAACUAAGUCAGACGUGAAAUCCCCAGGCUCAACCUGGGAACUGCGUCUGAUACUGGAUGGCUUGAAUCCGGGAGAGGGAUGCAGAAUUCCAGGUGUAGCGGUGAAAUGCGUAGAUAUCUGGAGGAACACCGGUGGCGAAGGCGGCAUCCUGGACCGACACUGACGCUGAGGCGCGAAAGCUAGGGUAGCAAACGGG
rnacentral:rRNA from 1 species